rnacentral:rRNA from 1 species
UGCAGUCGACGGUAACAUGGAUUGCUUGCAAUCUGAUGACGAGUGGCGCACGGGNGNNNAACGCGUAUACAAUCUACCUUUUACAGGGGGAUAGCCCAGAGAAAUUUGGAUUAAUACCCCAUGGUAUUGCGAAUUGGCAUCGAUUUACAAUUAAAGAUUCAUUGGUAAGAGAUGAGUAUGCGUCCUAUUAGCUAGAUGGUAAGGUAACGGCUUACCAUGGCAACGAUAGGUAGGGGCCCUGAGAGGGGGAUCCCCCACACUGGUACUGAGACACGGACCAGACUCCUACGGGAGGCAGCAGUGAGGAAUAUUGGACAAUGGGGGCAACCCUGAUCCAGCCAUGCCGCGUGCAGGAAGACUGCCCUAUGGGUUGUAAACUGCUUUUAUACAGGAAGAAACGCCUCUACGUGUAGAGGUUUGACGGUACUGUAAGAAUAAGGAUCGGCUAACUCCGUGCCAGCAGCCGCGGUAAUACGGAGGAUCCAAGCGUUAUCCGGAAUCAUUGGGUUUAAAGGGUCCGUAGGUUGAUAAUUAAGUCAGAGGUGAAAUCCUGCCGCUCAACGGUAGAAUUGCCUUUGAUACUGGUUAUCUUGAGUUAUUAUGAAGUAGUUAGAAUAUGUAGUGUAGCGGUGAAAUGCAUAGAUAUUACAUAGAAUACCAAUUGCGAANGCAGANUACUAAUAAUGAACUGACACUGAUGGACGAAAGCGUGGGGAGCGAACAGGAUUAGAUACCCUGGUAGUCCACGCCGUAAACGAUGGAUACUAGCUGUUCGGAUUUCGGUCUGAGUGGCUAAGCGAAAGUGAUAANUANCCCACCUGGGGAGUACGUUCGCAGAUGAAACUCNAAGGAAUUGACGGGGGCCCGCNCAGCGUGNAGCAUG